rnacentral:lncRNA from 1 species
GUUACAGUGGUUCAGUUGCAUCAAAAAGAUGCAACUACCCUAUUAGCAUGAGAUGUUGCUAGGUAAAGAUAUGGUUGGGCCCAAUAAUCGAAUAUAGUGAGGGACCCAAUGAUGGCUUCGCUUAUAUAUUGAAUGGUGGAUCAGACUUAACUAAGGAUUGGGUCAAUAAAUAGGCACUUGAGGCUUCAUGACUUAGAGACCAAUUGCUGCAUCAU